UACGGGGGGGGCAAGCGUUGUUCGGAAUUACUGGGCGUAAAGGGCGCGUAGGCGGGUGGACAAGUCUCUCGUGAAAGCCCACGGCUCAACCGUGGAAUUGCGGGAGAUACUGUCUGUCUUGAGUCCGGGAGAGGAGGGUGGAAUUCCCAGUGGAGCGGUGAAAUGCGUAGAUAUUGGGAGGAACACCGGUGGCGAAGGCGGCUCUCUGGACCGGUACUGGCGCUGAGGCGCGAAAGCUACGGGAGCAAACGGG
rnacentral:rRNA from 1 species